UUGGGCGUAAGAGCUCGUAGGCGGUUUGUCGCGUCUGCUGUGAAAGACCGGGGCUCAACUCCGGUUCUGCAGUGGGUACGGGCAGACUAGAGUGCAGUAGGGGAGACUGGAAUUCCUGGUGUAGCGGUGAAAUGCGCAGAUAUCAGGAGGAACACCGAUGGCGAAGGCAGGUCUCUGGGCUGUAACUGACGCUGAGGAGCGAAAGCAUGGGGAGCGAACAGGAUUAGAUACCCUGGUAGUCCAUGCCGUAAACGUUGGGCACUAGGUGUGGGGGACAUUCCACGUUUUCCGCGCCGUAGCUAACGCAUUAAGUGCCCCGCCUGGGGAGUACGGCCGCAAGGCUAAAACUCAAAGGAAUUGACGGGGGCCCGCACAAGCGGCGGAGCAUGCGGAUUAAUUCGAUGCAACGCGAAGAACCUUACCAAGGCUUGACAUGAACCGGAAAGACCUGGAAACAGGUGCCCCGCUUGCGGUCGGUUUACAGGUGGUGCAUGGUUGUCGUCAGCUCGUGUCGUGAGAUGUUGGGUUAAGUCCCGCAACGAGCGCAACCCUCGUUCUAUGUUGCCAGCGCGUUAUGGCGGGGACUCAUAGGAGACUGCCGGGGUCAACUCGGAGGAAGGUGGGGACGACGUCAAAUCAUCAUGCCCCUUAUGUCUUGGGCUUCACGCAUGCUACAAUGGCCGGUACAAAGGGUUGCGAUACUGUGAGGUGGAGCUAAUCCCAAAAAGCCGGUCUCAGUUCGGAUUGGGGUCUGCAACUCGACCCCAUGAAGUCGGAGUCGCUAGUAAUCGCAGAUCAGCAACGCUGCGGUGAAUACGUUCCCGGGCCUUGUACACACCGCCCGUCAAGUCACGAAAGUUGGUAACACCCGAAGCCGGUGGCCUAACCCUUGUGGGGGGGAGCCGUCGAAAGGUGGGACCGGCGAUUGGGACGAAGUCGUAACAGGGUA
rnacentral:rRNA from 1 species